CCUACGGGAGUCAGCAGUGAGGAAUAUUGGUCAAUGGACGAGAGUCUGAACCAGCCAAGUAGCGUGAAGGAUGACUGCCCUAUGGGUUGUAAACUUCUUUUAUAUGGGAAUAAAAUGUUCCACGUGUGGGAUUUUGUAUGUACCAUAUGAAUAAGGAUCGGCUAACUCCGUGCCAGCAGCCGCGGUAAUACGGAGGAUCCGAGCGUUAGCCGGAUUUAUUGGGAUUAAAGGGAGCGUAGGUGGAUUGUUAAGUCAGUUGUGAAAGUUUGCGGCUCAACCGUAAAAUUGCAGUUGAAACUGGCAGUCUUGAGUACAGUAGAGGUGGGCGGAAUUCGUGGUGUAGCGGUGAAAUGCUUAGAUAUCACGAAGAACUCCGAUUGCGAAGGCAGUUCACUGGACUGCAACUGACACUGAGGCUCGAAAGUGUGGGUAUCAAACAGGAUUAGAUACCCGGGUAGUC
rnacentral:rRNA from 1 species